rnacentral:rRNA from 1 species
GACGAACGCUGGCGGCGUGCUUAACACAUGCAAGUCGAACGGAAAGGCCCUGCUUUUGCGGGUUUCACGUUAGCGGAGCGGGGGAGAAACACGCGAGUAUCCUCCCCUUAUCUUUGGGAUAUCUCCUCGAAACAGGGGCUAUAACCGCAUAGAAGCUCUUGCACCAUGUGGUGGAUUGGAAAGUUUCGGCGGUUGUGGCUGGACUCGCGGCUUAUGAGCUGGUUGGUGGGGUAGUGGCUUACAAAGGCUUUGACGGGUAGCCGGCCUGAGAGGGGGACCGGCCACAUUGGGACUGAGAGACGGCCCAGACGCCUACGGGAGGCAGUGGGGGGGAAUAUUGCAGAAUGGGCGGAAGCCAGAUGCAGCAACGCCGCGUUCGGGAUGACGGCCUUCGGGUGGUAAACCGCUUUCGCCUUUGACGAAGCGUGAGUGACGGUAAUGGGUAAAGAAGCACCGGCUAACUACGUG